rnacentral:tRNA from 1 species
GGGCGUAGCUCAAUGGCAGAGCAUGAGCCUUCCAAGCUCGAGACGAGGGUUCGAUUCCCUUCGCCC